AGAUGAGAGGGCGAUCUGGCUGCGACAUCUGUCACCCCAUUGAUCGCCAGGGUUGAUUUGGCUGAUCUGGCUGGCUAGGCGGGUGUCCCCUUCCUCCCUCACCGCUCCAUGUGCUUCCUUCCCCCAGCUGUGCACUUGGUCGAAGAGGACGGCCUUCCCCGAAUAGAGACGUACUGGUCUUCAGUCGAGGGUAACAGUGCUCCCCCUGCUAGAACCUCCAAACAAGCUCUCAUGCAUACACUCACACACACACAUAUAUGUGUAUAUAUAUGUACAUAUAUAUAAAAAAGAUUGUGUAGACACAGGGUCACUUCUGUGUAGACACAGGGUCACUCUUU
rnacentral:snRNA from 1 species